CCUACGGGUGGCAGCAGUGAGGAAUAUUGGUCAAUGGGCGCGAGCCUGAACCAGCCAAGUAGCGUGAAGGAUGACUGCCCUACGGGUUGUAAACUUCUUUUAUAAAGGAAUAAAGUGAGGCACGUGUGCCUUUUUGUAUGUACUUUAUGAAUAAGCAUCGGCUAACUCCGUGCCAGCAGCCGCGGUAAUACGGAGGAUGCGAGCGUUAUCCGGAUUUAUUGGGUUUAAAGGGUGCGUAGGCGGUAUUUUAAGUUAGUGGUAAAACGUCGGGGCUUCACCUUGAUUGGCCAUUAAAACUGGAGUACUAGAGUACAGACGAGGUAGGCGGAAUAAGUUAAGUAGCGGUGAAAUGCUUAGAUAUAACUUAGAACCCCGAUAGCGAAGGCAGCUUACCAGACUGUUACUGACGCUGAAGCACGAGAGCGUGGGUAGCGAACAGGAUUAGAUACCCUUGUAGUC
rnacentral:rRNA from 1 species